rnacentral:lncRNA from 1 species
UCUCUCUCCUCUUUCUGGCACCACUAUAAUACGGAUGUUGGUGCAUUUAACAUUGUCCCAGAUUUCUCUUAGACUGUCUUCAUUUCUUUUCAAUCUUUUUUCCCUUUCUGUGUCAGUGAUUUCUACCAGUGAUUUCCGAUUUGUACUCUUGCUUCCUGUAUUCUGCCGUUGGUUCCUUCUAGUAAAUCUUUAAUUUCAGUUACUAUAUUUUGCAUCUCUGCUUGCUUAAUCUUUAAAUCUUCUCUUUCUUUGCUCAUUUUCUUGUAAUUUGUCAGUCUUUGCCUCCAGUUUAUUUCCAAGAUCUUGAAUCAUCUUUACUAUCAUUAGUAUAAAGUGUUUUUCGUGGAGGUUGGUAAUCUCCAGAUAACUUAGCUGUUCUUCUGUUUUUUUUUUUUUUUCUUGUUCCUUUAUCUGAGUCAUAAUUCUCUGCUUUUUCAUUUUGUAUAGAUUUUUUACGUGGUCUCCUUUUUGCAGACAAUAGUGUUGUAGCCUUUCUUGCCUCUGACCUCUGUCCCCCUUAUAGCUGGAGCUGGUAUGGGGGCAUGCUGUAGGCUUCCUGAUGGGAGGGACUGGUGCCUGCCCACUGAUAGGUGGAGCUUAUCCCUCUGGUGGGUGGGGCCUUGGUUGUUAUUAGAGGUGGCUGUGUGCCUGGGGGGUCUUUAGGCAGCCUGUUUACUGAUGGGUAGGUCUGAUUUGUUGUUUGGCUUGGGGCUUCAUCAGUCCUGAUGGGUGGAGCCAGAUUUUUCCAAAAUGGCCACCUCUAGAAGAGAUCAUGCUGAUGAUUAUUCCCAAGACCUUUUCCUACAUGUCCUUCCCCCACAAGAAGCCGCAUUACCCUCUGGUUUCCCAGAAGAUCCUCCAAAAACCUCAGGUAGGUCUGACUCAGAUUCCUAUGGAGUCUCUUCUUUGCCCUGGGACCCAGUGCACAGGAACACUUGUGUGCACCUUUCAAUAAUGUAGUCUCUGUUUCCUGCAGUCCCAUGGGGCUCCUGCACACAAACCCCACUGGACCUGAAAGCCAAGUGCUCUGGGGGCUCCUACUCCCAAUGCCAAGUUCCCAGGUGUGGGAACCUGACUUGGGGCUCAGAACUCUCACUCCCACGGGUGAGCUUCUGUGAUAUAGUUACUUUCCAGUUUGUGGGCUGCCCACCUCAUGGGUAUGGGUCUACUUAUAUAAAGUAAUAGCUCCUCCUACCACCUCAAUGUGGCUUCUUCUUUGUCUUCUAGAGUAGGAUAUCUUUUUUGAUAGUGUACAGUCUAUUUUGUUGAAGGUUGUUCAGCAGUUGGUUGUAAUUUUGUUGCUUUUAUGAGAGAAGGUGAGCUCUAGUCCUUCUACUCUGCCAUCUUAAUCCUGUCUCUCUAGAGUUUUGCCUUUUGGAAAAGGAUAGUAUGAGGAACAGUAGUGUAGCUUAAAAUUCUGACCAGCUUUAGAUUUAGUCUUGAAUUGGGAAUGGUCUCUCACAAUUUUAUAAAUUUCGAAUUCAGUAACUCUAAAGAAAAAGUUAUUGAACAAAUUUCUUUUGACAGGCAUAGAAUAGGAAAUAAUAAAAACUGCCAACGUUGAAUACGUACACAAAGAAUGUGAUGUCAUAGAAUUGGGUGGUAAGAAUAAGUUGUUUAAAGGGAAGAGCAGAUGUGAUUUGGAGACAGGUGUGAAACUGUUGGCAACAGGCGAUGAGUUGAGAUGGCAGUUGUUUCUAUGUCUUUCUUGAUUGGGUACAAAUGGUGGUUAGAUUAAAGGGACUCCUAAGAUGCCGCUCUCUCCUCAUAUUUUAAUUCAGUUAUGAAAUAAAUGAGCAUAAUAUCAAAGUGAUAGGCCCCACGAGCUGAACUAGAUGAUCACAGUUUGAACUACCAGGGAUGAAGGGUUUUUGGACAAGAUUUAUGAUGUUUCAAACUUUAAUAACAAAAUCUUUGGUUUAAACAGCCCUUUUACUGGAGCAGAAGUAGAGUCCCAGCCCUCAGUCUGCUGAACACCCCAGAUUAGAUAUCUGUAUCAGUUAGGAUUCUGUAGUUCCAAACAACAGAAUCUGACUCUGACCAAUUUUCAGAAUCGUUAGGAAAGCUGAAGAGCUAAGCUUCAGAAAGGACCAGACCCAAGGAAGCUCCUGAGUUCUGGGUAGCAAGAACUAAUGGCAGUCUCUCUCUUCAGAAUUGCCACUGGAACCAGCUUUGUUGUUCCUCACUCUGUCUGUCUUGCUUAGGUCACACAUCCAUCCCUUGAUCGAGGUAGUGGGAACAUUCUGAUUGAACCCCUGGGGGCAGAGAAUAGUUAUCAGAAGAAGGGAAGUUAAUACAUACAAAACGUAUGUCCACUGCAAUAGUCUCUUGAGAUUUCCUCCAAGCCCAGGAUUCUGGGAUUACUAUCCAGUAUCAGAAAAUUCUCCCUGCAACGGUGAGCCAAAAUGGCCCUGAGACCUAGCUGCCAGUUCUGUUCUAAUUCAUUCCUUCCUCUUUUCUCUCUUUCUCUCUUUCUUUUCUUUUCUUUUUUCUCUUCUCUUCUUUUCUUUUCUUUUCUUUCUUUCUCUCUCUCUCUCUCUUCCUCCCUUCCUUCCUUUUCUUUGUUUCUUUGUUUCAUUCAUUCAUUCAUUCAUUCACUCAUUCAUCUUUUUAGGGCAGCACCCUUGGCAUAUGGAGGUUCCUAGGCUAGGAGUCCAAUCUGAGCUAUAGCUGCUGACCUGUGGCACAGCCACGGCCACGUGGGAUCCAAACCACAUCUGUGACCUACACCACAGCUCAUGGCAAUGCCGGAUCCUUAACCCACUGAGAAAGGCCAAGGAUUGAAUCCAUGUCCUUGAGGAUGCUAAUUGAGUUUGUUAACCACUGAGCCAUGACAGGAACUCCUUUUAUUUUUUAUUUUUUUUCUGUUCUAAUCUCAAGUUUUAAUCUCAAAGAAUAUCAUCGUCAACAUAGAAGUUAAAAAAAGGUGGAUAAUGGCAGUGUCUUUAGCAGUUUUUUAAAACUGAAUAUUAAGGGCUCAGUCUUUUUGGUCAGAUUAUGGUUCAAUUUUGUGUACCCUUGGGUAAGUUUCUUACUUUUCCUGAGCCUUAGUUUCCUCCUCAGUAAAAUAUGAACUGUUGGGUUGUUUUAUGAGAGAUGCUUAUUACAGGCCUAGCCUUAUAAAUUGUAUUUAUUGGUAUUCUAAAAUGAAAUUUCCUUUCAGAUGUUACUCAUAAAAACUUACAUGGUUUUAUUAUAAUGAGUUAUUUUUCAUAAAUUCAUUAAAUCUUAGAGACAUAGUAAACAAAUAUUCUUGAUUCUCAGCAACUGAGCCCAAGGGACUGAGGAAAUGAAUGGUGGCAAUUCACUGAAGCUGCAGAUUUGUGUUCCAUGUACAUAGACAAUAUUACAGGGACUGUAUGUAGGUACAGUGGUAUGUAGCUGGUGUUUAUACUUGACAGCAACUGGGGAAACAUGGUUGAAAUAUUACAAACAUUGCAAAUCCUCACUCUGAAGACUUACCCUGGCUUUUCCUGAAAAGAGAUUUUUUCCAUACUGACUUCCAGAUAGUGGUGUGGAAACUAUAUUUCUAUAGAAUUUUGAUAUAGAACCCAAAUCCUGUGUCUCCACUGUCCUUUGGCAAAUGGUAGCUGUUCCUAUGACUCUUCAGUACCUCACUGUGAUGACUAAAGCACAUGUGCAUUUCAAGCCAACAGUGUGUACUGGGAGUUAUGAAAGCACAUGCUUCCAGAAGCAGUUCACUAAAGAAGGAUUUUAAAACAAAAGAGGGGCUGAAGUCUGGGGAGAGAAUUGUGACUUAGUUCGUCACAAGCACCUUAUUAGGAAUGGGACACGGCAAAAGGAACUGUUCCUGAUGCAGAUUUCCAGAUUAUCUCUGGCGUGACCAGAAUGAUGUCUGAGAGAGAGAUCCCUGCCCCUGCAUUGAACACACUUCCUUCCUCUGGAGUUGGAAAGUUGGCUUUUCCCUCCUAGAAACAAGUGUCGGUAUUGAAAAGCUCAGCAUUAACCAUCCAGAAUUCCCCCAUCCUUUACUUCUAAACCAGUGAACCCCAAACAUUUGUUGACCACCUACCUACCUAAUUUUUAAUGUGACACUGUGAUGCCCACUGGAGCUUUCAGAAGAAAGGGAUGAUUCAUCACUUCCAGUCUCCUUGGGAAGACAUGUAAACCCAUGAGAUACUAAGACCAAGUAGAAACCAGUAUGAAAUGAAAACCCAUUAUCACAGCUCACAGGCCCAGUUGGGCAGCUGGACAGCUUUGUGAACUUUGCUGCUUGCUUGGCAAAACCCCUUGCUCAGCUGGAGAUUUCAAUCAACAAGCUUAUCUGUGCCUAAUGGAACUGUGUCCAAAUUUGUCACUAGGCCAUGUUCGAAGGCACAGGCAAUUUGUUGAAGUCAUUUCGGAUGCAGGAAAUCCUGUGUUUACUACCUAGGAAAUACUACAUAAAGGUUGGGAUUUUUUUCCCCUUGUAAUGCUCUUUCGAAUUGAAAUUUGGCAACAGAGCCACUGCUGAUAAGAAGGACGUUGUUCAGGAAAUGACAAUAUGGUGCUAGCCAAUUAUACACAAUGGGCCUUUCUUCCUCGUCCCCAUCCUGGUUCUCUAAGUUAGUUGAUAGAAUCGCUUCCUUCAAGGAGUCCAGUCACUCACAGGUUCACAUCUUGAGCAGCAAGGACGUCAGAGAGGAGUUGCCAUCUCUCUGGGCGUGUCUGUUAAGAUGUAAGAGAGACAUGCCUUGAAAAUACUGGACUCAUUU